UAAAGUGGCGAACGGCUGAGUAACACGUGGGCAACCUGCCCUUUGCACUGGGAUAGCCUCGGGAAACCGAGGUUAAUACCGGAUACUCCAUAUUUGUCGCAUGGCGAAUAUGGGAAAGCUCCGGCGGCAAAGGAUGGGCCCGCGGCCUGUUAGCUAGUUGGUGGGGUAGUGGCCUACCAAGGCAAUGAUGGGUAGCCGGGUUGAGAGACCGACCGGCCAGAUUGGACUGAGACACGGCCCAGACUCCUACGGGAGGCAGCAGUG
rnacentral:rRNA from 1 species